UGACAGAGGACAUUGUUGCUCUUUACAUGUACUCUUCAUUCUUCUGAUAUUGGGUAUGUUAACUCUAAUUUAGGUGGCACAAAGAAAAGAAGUUUCGCAUAAGCAGUACCACUAGCCACACAAUACUCCAUGCCCGACGGAGCCCUGAGGAGGUUGCCAGGGCCAUCCUGAACUCAAGGCCAUUUUCUACAGAGGCCACGGCCUAUGGACUCCGUACAGAACCCCUGGCUCGAAUGGAGUUUGAGCGUCAACUAGGUGUUGAAGUUGUGGAGAUGGGUUUGCUCAUACACCCGGAUCAGCCUUGGCUGUGUGGCAGCCCUGAUGGCAUGUUCUGCCUGUCUGGGGAAACAUGCCUUUUGGAAAUCAAGUGUCCCCACAAGUGUAAAGAAGCAGACAUGUUCGACAGCUCGGGAGAGAGCAUCCUAGACUACAUCCAGGGAACAGGCAGCAACCGAAGACUGAAGACAACGCACAGAUAUUUCACUCAAGUACAGAUAUUACUGUACUUGUUGAAUGUACAAAAGUGCUACUUUUUUGUAUAUUCCAGCAGGAAAAAUGUCAUUAUUGAAGUCAGUAGGGAUGAUACCUUUCUUUACGAGAGCAUCCCAGCCCUUGAAAGAUUUUAUUUUACUUAC